CCUACGGGAGGCAGCAGUGGGGAAUAUUGGGCAAUGGGCGCAAGCCUGACCCAGCAACGCCGCGUGAAGGAAGAAGGCUUUCGGGUUGUAAACUUCUUUUCUCAGGGACGAAGCAAGUGACGGUACCUGAGGAAUAAGCCACGGCUAACUACGUGCCAGCAGCCGCGGUAAUACGUCGGUGGUAAGCGUUAUCCGGAUUUACUGGGUGUAAAGGGCGUGUAGGCGGGGAAGCAAGUCAGAUGUGAAAACCACGGGCUCAACCUGGGGCCUGCAUUUGAAACUGUUUUUCUUGAGUACUGGGGAGGCAGACGGAAUUCCUAGUGUAGCGGUGAAAUGCGUAGAUAUGAGGAGGAACCCCAGUGGCGAAGGCGGUCUGUUGGACAGCAACUGACGCUGAGGCGCGAAAGCGUGGGGAGCAAACAGGAUUAGAUACCCUAGUAGUC
rnacentral:rRNA from 1 species